AACGAACGCUGGCGGCAUGCCUAACACAUGCAAGUCGAACGAGAUCUUCGGGUCUAGUGGCGCACGGGUGCGUAACGCGUGGGAAUCUGCCCUUUGGUUCGGAAUAACAGUUGGAAACGACUGCUAAUACCGGAUGAUGACGAAAGUCCAAAGAUUUAUCGCCAGAGGAUGAGCCCGCGUAGGAUUAGCUAGUUGGUGUGGUAAAGGCGCACCAAGGCGACGAUCCUUAGCUGGUCUGGGAGGAUGAUCAGCCACACUGGGACUGAGACACGGACCAGACUCCUACGGGAGGCAUGAGUGGGCAAUAUUGGACAAUGGGCGAAAGCCUGAUCCAGCAAUGCCGCGUGAGUGAUGAAGGCCUUAGGGUUGUAAAGCUCUUUUACAAGGGAUGAUAAUGACAGUACCUGGAGAAUAAGCUCCGGCUAACUCCGUGCCAGCCGCCGCCGCAG
rnacentral:rRNA from 1 species